AAUAAUAUAUUUUGAGGGAGCAAGUGUGCGGCGGGUGGGGGUCUAAACUUCCGCCAAGCACAGCUCAUUGGGUCCCUGGGCCCAGACCGAAACUCGCCCCUUACACCUGCGAUCUUAAGAGGUCCUACCUUGAUAUAAGAACUUGAAUCUCUACAGCUUUGGCAACCUUCAUGAUGGAAGCGGGGAUCGCAAGCAACAGGAAGUACAGUAGAUGUCAUUAAAUUGGGC
rnacentral:lncRNA from 1 species